rnacentral:rRNA from 1 species
AGGUGAAGCGAAUCCCAAAAAAGUAGUCUCAGUUCAGAUUGCAGGCUGCAACUCGCCUGCAUGAAGGCGGAAUUGCUAGUAAUCGCAGAUCAGCAUGCUGCGGUGAAUACGUUCCCGGGCCUUGUACACACCGCCCGUCACACCAUGGGAGUCGGUAACACCCGAAGCCAGUAGCCUAACCGCAAGGGGGGCGCUGUCGAAGGUGGGAUUGAUGACUGGGGUGAAGUCGUAACAAGGUACC